rnacentral:siRNA from 1 species
AGGUCCCAGUAUUCCAUGGGAUU